GAUGAACGCUGGCGGCGUGCCUAAUACAUGCAAGUCGAGCGAAUGGAUUAAGAGCUUGCUCUUAUGAAGUUAGCGGCGGACGGGUGAGUAACACGUGGGUAACCUGCCCAUAAGACUGGGAUAACUCCGGGAAACCGGGGCUAAUACCGGAUAACAUUUUGAACCGCAUGGUUCGAAAUUGAAAGGCGGCUUCGGCUGUCACUUAUGGAUGGAGCCGCGUCGCAUUAGCUAGUUGGUGAGGUAACGGCUCACCAAGGCAACGAUGCGUAGCCGACCUGAGAGGGUGAUCGGCCAAACUGGGACUGAGACACGGCCCAGACUCCUACGGGAGGCAGCAGUAGGGAAUCUUCCGCAAUGGACGAAAGUCUGACGGAGCAACGCCGCGUGAGUGAUGAAGGCUUUCGGGUCGUAAAACUCUGUUGUUAGGGAAGAACAAGUGCUAGUUGAAUAAGCUGACACCUUGACGGUACCUAACCAGAAAGCCACGGCUAACUACGUGCCAGCAGCCGCGGUAA
rnacentral:rRNA from 1 species